UUAUCGAAGUCCGUCUUUUUGGCUUACAUAGGUACUAAAAAUUAUUUAAAUGUAUAGAAUUAAAGUGCAUAUUUCAAUUAUGAUGUUUCAGUACCUAUUAUCAUUCGCCUCACAACGUCUCCAAGUCGUUUCCUUUCUCGUGUUUAUACGGGCCCUGCGAUAUCAGCUCAUUCAAUUUUACGUCUACUCAUGCUCUUAUUGUGGUGGCUGUGAGCCUGAGUCUUCUCCAUGUAUAUUGGACGUGCCUCAUCUUCAAAGUUCUCUACCUGGCUAUUUUCGUUGGGAAAGUGAGUAAACAUUCAGAUCCUAUCGACAUUAACAACUUCACAUACUUUCACCGUUAAAUAUUUUGAGCGCGUAUAGGACAGUAUGUUUAUUUCAGUUAUUUAUCCGAAAGAACAUUAAAGUGCGUAUUUGGGUAU
rnacentral:lncRNA from 1 species